GAUGAACGCUGGCGGCGUGCCUAAUACAUGCAAGUCGAGCGCAGGAAAUCGACGGAACCCUUCGGGGGGAAGUCGACGGAAUGAGCGGCGGACGGGUGAGUAACACGUAAAGAACCUGCCCUCAGGUCUGGGAUAACCACGAGAAAUCGGGGCUAAUACCGGAUGGGUCAUCGGACCGCAUGGUCCGAGGAUGAAAGGCGCUUCGGCGUCGCCUGGGGAUGGCUUUGCGGUGCAUUAGCUAGUUGGUGGGGUAAUGGCCCACCAAGGCGACGAUGCAUAGCCGACCUGAGAGGGUGAUCGGCCACACUGGGACUGAGACACGGCCCAGACUCCUACGGGAGGCAGCAGUAGGGAAUCUUCCACAAUGGACGAAAGUCUGAUGGAGCAACGCCGCGUGAACGAUGAAGGCCUUCGGGUCGUAAAGUUCUGUUGUAAGGGAAGAACAAGUGCCGCAGGCAAUGGCGGCACCCUGACGGUACCUUGCGAGAAAGCCACGGCUAACUACGUGCCAGCCGCCGCCGUAA
rnacentral:rRNA from 1 species